rnacentral:rRNA from 1 species
UGGGGAAUAUUGCACAAUGGGGGAAACCCUGAUGCAGCGACGCCGCGUGAACGAAGAAGGUAUUCGUAUCGUAAAGUUCUGUCCUAUGGGAAGAUAAUGACAGUACCAUAGAAGAAAGCUCCGGCUAAAUACGUGCCAGCAGCCGCGGUAAUACGUAUGGAGCGAGCGUUGUCCGGAAUUAUUGGGCGUAAAGGGUACGCAGGCGGUUUAAUAAGUCGAAUGUUAAAGAUCGGGGCUCAACCCCGUAAAGCAUUGGAAACUGAUAAACUUGAGUAGUGGAGAGGAAAGUGGAAUUCCUAGUGUAGUCGUGAAAUACGUAGAUAUUAGGAGGAAUACCAGUAGCGAAGGCGACUUUCUGGACACAAACUGACGCUGAGGUACGAAAGCGUGGGGAGCAAACAGG